rnacentral:rRNA from 1 species
AUUGAACGCUGGCGGCAUGCCUUACACAUGCAAGUCGAACGGCAGCAUGAUCUAGCUUGCUAGAUUGAUGGCGAGUGGCGAACGGGUGAGUAAUACAUCGGAACGUGCCCUGUAGUGGGGGAUAACUAGUCGAAAGAUUAGCUAAUACCGCAUACGACCUGAGGGUGAAGGUGGGGGACCGCAAGGCCUCAUGCUAUAGGAGCGGCCGAUGUCGGAUUAGCUAGUUGGUGAGGUAAAGGCUCACCAAGGCGACGAUCAGUAGCUGGUCUGGGAGGACGAUCAGCCACACUGGGACUGAGACACGGCCCAGACUCCGACGGGAGGCAGCAGUGGGGAAUUUUGGACAAUGGGCGAAAGCCUGAUUCAGCAAUUCCGCGUGUGGGAAGAAGGCCUUCGGGUUGUAAAGCACUUUUGUCCGGAAAGAAAUGGCUCUGGUUAAUACCUGGGGUCGAUGACGGUACCGGAAGAAUAAGGACCGGCUAACUACGUGCCAGCAGCCGCGGUAA